UACAGAGGUCGCAAGCGUUGUUCGGAUUUACUGGGCGUAAAGGGCGCGUAGGCGGCCGUGUGUGUCAAGUGUGAAAUCUCCGGGCUCAACCCGGAAAGUGCGCUUGAAACUGCACGGCUCGAGUAUGGGAGGGGGAAUCGGAACGCAGGGUGUAGCGGUGAAAUGCGUUGAUAUCCUGCAGAACACCGGAGGCGAAGGCGGAUUCCUUGAACAUCACUGACGCUGAGGCGCGAAAGUCGGGGGAGCAAACAGG
rnacentral:rRNA from 1 species